ensembl:lncRNA
GUAAUGAUGAUUCUGAAAAAUGCAAAAUCCCACCUUGCAAAUGUUCUAUUAGAAAAGAUAAUUAGAAAUGAGUCAUCUCUAUAUUCAUAUAUGGUAUAAUACAAAACAAAGAUGGAGCAAAUGAAGAAGAAGAGAAUGAGAAAGAAGAAGAGGAAGAAUGAGAAAGAGGAAGGUGGAGAAGGAGAAAAAAAUAAACAUUUACAGCUUGCCAGGAUGUAGGAACAAGAUGAGUAUAUUAUGCAAAGAAAUCGGUAGCACAAUAUUUGCAGUUCUUAAUGCAGUAAAGACAGGACUAGGAUGGUACAUUCUUGCACAGAGACAACUGUCCUUAAGCAACAGUAUAUGGGAACUGUUGAAUCACGGCCUGAACAUCUGAUUGACCACCUGAGGCGAGUGCUGAGUCAGCUGCAGGGGCACAGGUGAAUGCAAUUUCACCUGAGUGACCAGAAGACCCCAUUUAAGGGCUGUCCUAGAUGCCAUUUAAGGGUUGACUCCCAAGGAGGAAGGGUCUCUAUGUAGUGUUCACUCUUCUUAGAGCCCUUCUGUGAGCCCAGGAUAUGGGUAAGAUCUUUAUUUCAUUACUCCUUUGUAACGUGAUAAUCUCUCUGGUCCGAUACCUGUUUGCCAUACAAACAGCAAGGACAAUUUCCAAGUCACUUUCAGGGAUCUGUAAAUUCUUUGUAAACUUUUCAAAACACUGUUUGCUUAAGACUGCUGUGAACGAAUGGUCAUUCUACCUACCUGCAAUAGAUUACCACUCCCUGCUUCUGUUGCUUCCUUGUUUGCUCUGUGCUCUGUGUCAUGUUAUGAAGUCUUAUAUAACAAAAUACCAAGACCAAAUAUCAAACUUAUUUAUAUCCUGCUAAUUAAAUAUUUUAAUUUUUUAUAUCUGCAAUUGAAAAGUAAGUUGAAAUCAUUAAUAGACUGCUUGACUUUAAUCAGUAAGUAAAAUAAUUUCUUGAUAAGGAUUUAGACCAAAUCAGGAGGAAUGCUUCAAGAGACAUCUGUGAUAAAAGUAUCAAGCAGUUUUUCUAAUCAUGUACCAAGUUCAAGGUCUCUGAUAAGCCACCUGGCUAUACCUACACACUUCAAUAACCCCAAGCUGGUAUUACAUUGUCUAGCUAAGGAAGGUCUUGUUGCUGGGUGCUGAGUUGCUAGGCUUAUGGCUCUCUCUGUUAUGAGACACAAAAAUAUCUGAAUGUCAUGUAGGUGAAACAUGCACAGAAAGCCAUGAGGAUGGUUAUCUUAAUAAGGAAGGCUGGUAGUAACCAAUAACCUUACGAGUCAGAACCUCUGCAUUUUUUUUAUUUCUAUUUUUUGCUUCUUUAGAGUUGUCUUUCACUUCUAAGAAGCUUCUGUGCCCAAAGUUGGCUAAAAUGCAUUCCUCAAGACUUCAGAUAUCUGCCUUUUGCAAGUAAACAUCUUCUGAAUCUCAGGCAUCAACCCUUUGUUAUUCUUAUUUUUCCAUCAUUGGGCUCAUUUGUCAUCUGGAAGAUAUCUGUUUAUUUACAUUUUAAUGCCCCUUUCCCAGAACUCUAUCUUGUUAUGUUUUUUCUUAACAUUGUUUUUCCUUACAAUAAAUUGUUGUGCUCCAAGAACAUGCUUGGCAUUAGGUCUAAAUGGACAAGCAGAGCAGUCUUUCAUGUACAGCAUAGUCUUUCUUUUAUGAAUCUAUGUCAGCUGAGUACAGCUCAUAAGUGAACCCUCCAAAUUUUCUGGCUUUACCUGUAACUCACGGCUGAACCUCUCUCUGCUCAGUGAUGAAGUGAGUAUAUUUCCUCCAUUUUUCCUUUGAAUCUCAGACACUUUCUCUGUAUUCAUAAUGCUUCAGUAUCCCUGUAUGUUCCAACUAGAACUUCCAAAACUUCCAUCGUUAAACCAGACUGAUAUACAGCUACUUUGUUCUAGUAAUGUAAGUUCUAAUCUUUGGUACCUAGGAUGUAUCUGUCUUGUUCUUCUGUUACUAGAAAUGAAAGUAGUGAAUGGUUAAUGUAGUAUUUCCUUUUGAUUCAGAUUAUUUAUCCCCAAAGGGAACUUUGUGGACAGUCAGUUUUACUGUUUUCUCAUGAUCAUUCUAUAGCCUACGCAAAUAUGAGCUAUGAUCUAAAUGGGAAUUCAAAGGUAUUGGUACAGAAUUUUGAAUACUGUUACUGCAUUGCAAAUACUCUCUGUGGGAGAUUCUGGUAUAUCUGCUUGAAGAGUUAUUAUGGCAUACCAGAACAUUUUGCUCACUCUGGACAAUUUCCAUUCCCCAGAUAGGAAAUGGGUAUAGACAAAUAUUUUAUAAAACAGGACUAAACCCCAAAAUAUGACUAGAUUAAUCCAGGAGCUGAUAUUGAUAUGGAUUUAUUUUAUGUUAUAAAGCACAUUUCAACUGGUCAGAUCUUUCUGUUACAUUUAUCCUCUUAUGGUCUAAAGAUUUUGUUUUGGUAUGAUUUUUUCAGUCUUACUGCUAUGAAAACAAAAGAAUUCAUGUGACUUGGGUGUUGAAGCCAGCCAUGGUUAAUAGCUUUUUCUAGAAUCAUUUAACACUUAAGGGAUACGAAGAUUUUCAAAUUUCAGUUAAUUUUCUGUAAUGACUAAAGGGUAUUGUGGCACCUCACAGGAUUCAUGCAAGUUAGGAUAUUUAAGAAAUUAAUUAAUUGAAACUGGAUUUGACAGCAGUGUAGAGAAUCUCAGAGCCAACCUAUUGCAAAAACCCUAACAAAUUUUUAGGCAUUUUUGGGAAGAGCAGGGAGGGAGGUAGAGAACAGAGAGUAAAAAGAAUAACUUCGAAAUAACCUCGGUGUUGCUGAUACACAUUGUUUAGAUUUAGAAGAAUUUUAUUAUUAUUACUUUUUUAAUAGAAGUCAUCUUAAGGAGUGUUGAUUAACAAUCCUGUAGCUGAUUGACUACUAUACCCUUAAGAAUGCAACUAGGCCAUUUGAAAUUUUAUAUAUAUGGGUCAUGCAGCUUCAAUUAUCAAUGUCACUGGUGAUAAACAUCUAUAGAUUUUGUCUUUAAAAAACAGACUGGCUUUCCCGGCUGAGAAACAGUUCCUAAACUAGAUGUGGUAGUCUGUGAAGUUUAACAUGCAGCCAUGUACCACCACUGGAAAGGACAUCUUUCACAGUCCUGCUUCUUUGUAAUAUCAUUGGCACUGAAAGGUAAUGACAAGUGCUGUGAAAUAGCCAUAUAAACAGCAAUAUUCUGCCUCAGCCAGUGCAUUCCAUAGACCUUACUGGUCCAUUCUGUUUUCAGCAGAAAUCCCUGCUGACUUUCAUGAGGAUUUAGCUUAAUAAAAAUGGCUGGAAUUAUAUGGUCCCUUGCCAAUAAUGAGUAUUCUUCAUUUUCAGAGUAUGUAGUAGAAAGAAAUAUAAAAAAAUCAUUGUAGAUGUUAAUUGUAGGUUCCAAUUGUUUAUUAAUUGCAAUAAUCUCCUGCACAUACCCUUUUUAUUGAAUGUUAUUGUUCACUGUUAUCAAGGUUUCAAGGAAGCAAUUUCUCAUAUAGGAUGAGACACUAUACAGGGUGUAUCAUACUCUGCAGGUGUUAAAUUUAUUGUGAGCAGCAGAGGCCACUUGAAUCUGAAAAAUUCCUUGAUUGAUUUUCAUGAAAAAUUUCCAUGGAGAAUAAGUUUUAUCUAAGCUGUGGUUGGGCUAUUCUUGAAGAAUUUCCGAUUUGUGGGCUGCAUACUAUGCAAGUUUACGACAGGGAGUUGCGGCAUGAAGCCAUACAGCAAUACUAUUUUGAGUAUAUGGAAACAAAUUCUUACCUUGACCUUGAAUAAUGUUCAAGUAGAUGGGAUAAAGAAGUUCCCUAUUUUUGUAGAUUUAAAGGUGUUGACAUUUUGGGAUCAGGAUCCAAAUAAUUACCCUUCUAAAAGAGGGGUUAGAAAUAACUUUUUAGUGAAGAAAUGUAUCUACAGUGAUGUAAACAUUUAUGAAUAAGAUUAUGAUAUCUUUCCACUUCAAAUAAAGAAAUGAGCUGGAAAUAGCUGGAAAAGUUAUGAGUCUGUCUUUCAAUCUUCAAUAUUUCUGAACUAGAAGAACCACUCAUGACUAUUAGGAAGCUACAACCAAUGCUGCACUCAAGCCAUAAUUCAUCCAGGAGUUAACCACAUUAAUAGCUUGUAUAGUUCUGGGACUUACUCUUCACUAACUAACAGAAAAAUUAGAUCUACUAUCACAGGAUUACUGUCAGAAGAAGGAAAUUAAAUCUGAAGAAAAGCUAAAAGAAUGAACAUAAGAAACACAUCAAAAAAGAGAACCCCAGCUGACUGAAAUUGUUUUUUUCAUUAUGGGAAACUUCAUUCAUCCAUAUUUGUCUUUUACAAAGGAUUAUAAAUUGAGGACUACAAGUCCAUAAAAUUUAUAUUUUGUCAUCUGGUUUGACUGGUGGAAUUAUGUUAUUGAGAAGGAUUCUAAGAUCACAUUAGCCAGAAAAGAGUAAUGCACUACACCCACUGAAGAACAAUACAUGUUCUUAUCUACCAAGGCAGGCAAUCAAUUCUCUAGUGCAUAUAUCAAUACAGGCUAGAAGUCCACUAUUGGCAGAUGAUGUGGAUGAAGUCCUGAUACAGGCUUUACCAGCAAUGAUUACCACAGCUGAAUUCACUGUAGGUUAAACAAACAACAAACAAACAGAAAAACAAUCCAACAUAGAAAAUAAACCCACAACUGAUUAAUCCUUUAUCACUGUGAUUUCCAUAACAUGAUAAUGUGAGUUCCUUUAAAAUGUACAAGUGUGUAUAGUGCAUAACUCAAUUUUGAACUGUAAACUAACAAAAUAUUUUAAAAUAGUGAAUACAGUGAAAUGUCUUUUAAAGUUAGGGAAGUGAAUUCAAGAAAAAUUCUAAAACUCAUCAGAACCAAAACAACAUCAAAAUUCAGGUAAGGCUCCUAAAUUACUUGUCACUUUCAUGAACUUCAGGACAAAAAAAAGAAAUCAAGAGAGAUGGAGAGAUGUUUUAGUUCUGCUUCUACAACACCAUAAAUAAAAAGGCAGGUACAUGAAUACUUUAAUAGGACUUCUAGUUAAGAGCCAACCUAGGAAAUAUCAGGUGUCUUAUCAGUCUAGAUAUGGGGACAUACCUCUGUUCUCCAAGGAGGGGAAAAAAGAAUCAUUAUGACAGGUGAUUUAACUGAAAUUUUGAGUAGAGGUUGAUAAAUUUGGUAAUAUCCAGGGUAAAGUCUGUUAUAUCUCCCUGGGAGACAGGCCCAAAAUCUCAACCUCCCUGCAGCCUGUGGUGAUCUACCCUGACUCCUCAAAGCAAAGAUCUUAAUCAAGGGCCCCAGUGAUGCACUGCUGACUUCUAGGUCUCCCUAUAAUUUGGCCACUGUAAGUCACUGAGUUUUCCAGGAGCAGCUUAGAUACUGGUACAGUAUAAACCACAAGACUGAAGUUACUUUGGACUAGCCCAACCUUUGUUUUGAACUUCACCUUCACCUUGAGCCACUUACUCUGUUUAUGCAUUUAUGAGCUUACUGAAGGUUCCUCUUUGAUUUUAGGGUAUAAAUCAAGACCCAUAUAUACUCUCCUCACCUAGAGGCUAUUCAAGAACUUAUAUUCAGAACUGAUUCACUGGGUUGUAAAAGAUCUGACAUGCUUUGGGUUUAAUCACAGUUCUCAGUGUUGCAAACCAUAACUAUUAGCAUUUAGCUUCACAGCUUCAGCAAGCGUGAGCCUCAGAGUAGGAUCCAAACAGCUAGUCCAUUGAAUGGAGAACUAUCAGUCUUGCUAAGGAUGAAAUGAUACAGGUACAGGUACUUUCUUACCAUUUCAUAGUCAUCUCUCAACAGAAGAUCUUACUGCCUCUGAAGUUUGUUCUGGGCUGGAACAGCCUCUACCUUCUUCACAAGCUGUUGAGCUGCUCCAAACAACAAGAAGUAUCCAUUUGAGAUGUGAGGUAACAUUCAUAUUCUUUUAUAGAAUCAUAGAAUUGAGUUGGAAUAGACCUUUGAAGGUCAUUUGGUCCAACUCUCCUGCAAUAGGCAGGGAAAUCCACAGCUACAUCAGAUUGCUCAGAGCCUGAUCCAUCCUGACCUUGGAUGUCUCAAGGUCAGACUGUCUUCUGUCCUGGGAAGAAAGAUAAAGGGAGAAAGUCUUCACACCACCUUGUACUGUAUUCUCUAUUUUAUGUGUUAUUUAGUUCAAGUUAGACACUUCCAUACUGCAGUGACAAGGAAUAAAGAUGAUGUGAGUGCCCACCUCACUGGAGUUGUAUUGAUACUUUCCUGCUGUUAGAUUCAAGUAAAUGAGUUCCAUAAAAAGAACAUUUUCAUUGUCUCUCUCUUUUUUCCACUCUUUCUUUUUAUGUAGCUGUUGAAUCUGGACUAAGAUAACAAUAACAAUUAUAUGAGCAGACUGCUAAGAUUUCAAUUAUGCUGACAUUAAAUUCUUGGCUUUACAUAGCCUCUUGGUCUGUAGAAAUAUUUUCUUGUUGCAGGGGAAUUGCUAGGUCACAGCCUGAGCCAAUGGUCAAGCAUCAGGUGAGAAGGCGUGGCUAGCCCAGGAAGCUCAGGUGCAUGCAAUACAUCUGCAUAACUAGAAGGGAUGGAGCCUGGAUCCACCCCCUCCUCACCCUCAUUAGCAGCUAGUAGCCAAGGGAGUAGUAUCUUUCUGCAUAGCAAUUGCACUCCUCUUGAGCUGCCAAUGGUUACUGGAAGGGGUGAGUAACUUUUCCUUUUUUACCUGCUAUUGCUCUGUAGGGCUUGUAACCCAUUAGAAUGCACUGUCAUUGCCUUCUUUUGCCAUAUAAUUGCUAUAAGCAUAAUCAUAUGGUUCAGGCGAAACUUAAAUGUCUGGGAUCCAUAAAGGAGAACAGAUUCCUGGCACAUAGGAGAGCAUUGGUUUUGAAACUGGCACCUGUAACAUUGAGGAACCCUUAAGACUGAAGCAGCAAUAAAGCAUCCACUGCUUGGAGGCUGUGAGACUGGAUGUAGGUGCUGACAUUGAAUCCAGGACCAUUUUUGGCCUGGAGUGAAAAUGAGAGCAGAGCACCACGUGUCAUAUUUUCCUCCAGCCCUGAGUCUUACCCUUGUUGAUGAGAAGGUCAGGCAGGUUCAGCAACAGACAUUCCUUCAUAGGCAUGGUCAACCUGUCUAUAUGGGAAAAUGUCUGAAGUUAAUUUAGUCAAACCAAAGGAAACACACAUCUCAGAAUUUUCUCUGUUCAGCUUUAGCCUCUCUUUCCUUAAGAUUGGCUGGUAGCAAAAACAAAGCAGGGUAUGCAGCACAAGUGUUCAUCCAGUCUCAUUUAUCCAUGUAAUGAAACUGUAGGGUCAAUAAGUAUACAGAUUGAAGGCUAGAGAAAUUAUUGCGUUAAAAAGGAAUAAUCAGGGAUGAAUGGAAAGCUUACCCAUGUCCUGGGCUCACCAAAAAGAUUCCAAGAUGAGCAAUCUCCAGAGAGAGAUCCUUCCUCAGUGGAAGUCAGCCCUUAAAUGGGGUCUUUCAAAUGGGUCCUCGUAUAUUGCUUCUCUUAUGCCAAGUUCACAAAUGUAAUUCUGAAGGUCCUCCAUGGUGGACCACAAUCCUGUGUUUAAUGGUGUAUCUGAUUUUUUUGGCCAUACCACAUGGCAUGCUACCAUUAGCCAAUCGAUUACAGAAUGAUUUUCAUUAGUAUAUUGGACACCUGCAUAUAUUCUUUGCCUAAGGGCAGGGUGCACCAUCAUGGUGGCCAAUUUAGAUAUUUCUAGCCCAUUGACCAUGACACUUUCUGCCCCUGAAUACCAUAGUCUUACUAACCAGGUUGGUACACUUUCGUUCGGCUUUUGCCAGAAUCGCUGUACUAUGUCCAUUAAUUCUGUUUGUGUGUAUGGCCUGGUUGUUACAUGUAAAUGUGUUUGGGCAUGGGGCCAUUGAUUGGGGGGUACCCCCUGCCUGUCUAUCUUGUACUUUCUUUUUUGAGUUAUGAUAGGAUGGAGUUCUAGGGAAUCUGUCAUAAGUGGAACCUCUAAAUCUGAUUUAGAAUUUUUUAACCCAGGUCCAUUGUUUCAAAAAUUGUUGCUUUCUGCAACAAUGAUGUUAGCCACCUGUGUUAGGCCUCUGUGCUCACUGACCAAUAGCCUGAUCAGGGCCAAAUGACUGCAGACGCACACCAAUAUGAUGAGCAGCAAAAUGGCGGUUUAUUCACUACUAAACACAGCUUAUAUACAUUUUUACCUACAUAACCGUGCUGUCAUGUCCCACCCUGAUUGGUUCACACCGGAUAACAUUGUGCCUUAUUUGUCCAUUUCCACAUUCUUUUCUCAUCUUCUUCUGCUGUUUUCUCUGCAUCAAGGUCAGCACAAUAGCACUGUCUCUCUAUGCUUAGGGAGAGGCCUGUCCUGUACAUCCUGUGCCCCUGCAAGGCGCCUACUACAUUUCCCCCUCCCUAAGCUAAAUACUACUUAGACACACGCCUAACCCAUACAUCGCAAAGCAGCGCAAAACACCUAAUCCUAAAUAUAUUUCAGCACACUAUUCCUACUACUUUUCUUCUACAAUUCUUAAGCAAACAUCAGAGCAACAGGGAAUCCUUUCCUGUGCUUGGCCAAGCCUGGUGCCUACUACAACAAAAAAUCUGUUCGUUAUCUAUUGAAAUAUUACGGACCUGGCCUAUUGGAAGAUGCAAGGUUGUUUUUUUCCCCUGUUAAUAUACUAAGUUCCUGUUCUAAUUUCUCAAUACAGUCUUUCACUAGCUGAUUUUCAUUUUCUAAAGUAUCAGCUCUUAUUUCAGUUUGGUUUAAGGCAUUCAGCAGUGGCUAUGCCACUGUAGAGGCAGCUAACUGCCACUCUUUUGUAAUUAAUAUAUCUUUAUCUAAACCUUGAAAAUAUUCCACCAUGCAGAAUGGGGAAAUAUUCCCCAUAACUCACAGAGGACCCCAUUUUUCAAUGACUGGGAGAUCCCAGAAAUCCUGGAAUCUGCCCAGGAACCAUUUUAUCUAGGAGGGUAGUGUUCUCCCCCUGACCUGUUUAUAAAGACACCACGGGAAAGACAUUAUGGUUUUAGUAUAUAUAUUUGGCCUGCCUGACUUACCAAGUGUAGGGUCAGUAAGCAUACAGAUUGAAGGCUAGAGAAAUUAUCGUGUAAGAAAGGAAUAACUAGGGAUGAAUGGAAAGCUUAUGCAUGUCCUGGGCUCACAAAAAAGACUCCAAAAGGAGCAACCUCCAGAGAGAGAUCCUUCCUCAGUGGAAGUCAGCCCUUAAAUGGGGUCUAAGAGAGGUGGAGCCUGGCUCCACCCCUCCUGAUUACACAGGUGGAGUUGCUUUCACCUGUGCCCCCAUGGCUGACUCUGUGCUUGCCUCAGGUGCUCAGUCAGAGGUUCAGGCUGUGAUUCAACAGUUCCUAUACAGAAACUAUUUUCAAAAUAAUACUUCAGGUGAAAGCUAAGAGAUUCUCUUCUGCAGAAAGUUGCUGCUUUCUUCCAGAAGCAGCAUUUCAGCUGAGCUUCUUGCUUCACCUGGAAAUACUUGAAAGGAAAAAUUAUCCUUAUACAGUUUGGCUCUGACCCUGAAAAAUAUUAACGUGACAACCAUAACUUCCUGUAUGUGCAACAAUAGGGACUAACAACACCUGUGAUCUAGCUGUUUCCACACAAAGGUGUAACAGCCUGCCUGGCUCUGCAAAUUUGCAGAAUUACUGGCACGACUACCAGAGGGACAGGUCACCUACUGAAGUCUACUUUGCUAUUUCUAUGUAUGUGUUUUUUAGUCCUUCCAUAAGGUAUGUUUGUGUUUCUGCAGAGCAUAUGACUUUACUGCACUAGUAAAAGCAGAUGGAGGAAGGAGAGCUCUGUGUUCCCUUGUAGCUGUGUUUCCCAAAGCUCUGCAGCCUGCUGUUGAGAAAGCCAGCUUGGUUGCUGUUGCCUGUUUAUAAAACUCUCUGACUUGGCCCUCAUCUCUCCUAUCAUGACUGUAUCAAACGUCCCUUUGGUGGCCUGCUAUCUGCUGAGUGAUGCUCGCAUCCCACAGUUCCUGCCUAAGGCACUGACACCCACUGUCAUAACAGAAACAGUGGUCAGCCUGGCGAGUACGUGGAGAUUUCUGAAUUUGGAGCAUCUCCAACACAGUGAAAUGCAAGGUGAGAACACAGACUGGAUUUUCAACAGAAAAUUUUCAUUAGGUGCAGAUUUGCUCAGCUGCUUUGUGAUUUACCACCAGCACAGCAUAUCCUCAGACCCUACCAUGCGGCAUCUUUAAACCUACAGCAUAGUGAAAACAAGGUGGAUUUUAUCACAGCAGAAAACCACACCAUGGCGUAGUCAGAAGUGAAUUUAGCCCUUCAAGAUCAAGUGUGAUCUUUGGCCAAAUUAUUAUAUUUAACCUCACUGUGAAAAAGAUGUCCUAAAUUAUGAAGACCCUGCUCUGCCCUUGAAUAAGCACAUCAGACACAGACCUCAGUGGGAGGAGUACCGGCUGCUUUUAUGGUCAGGAUUCAGUCGAGAGAAUUAAGCCUUUCUGAAGCAAAACUAAAUUGCAACAGCAAGUGUUGUACUGUCAUUUUAAUGACAGCAGAAGUCUGUAAGUAUGGAAUGAAUCAAUUAUUGCAAGCACAGCCCCUGUGUAAAUCACUGACGGCAAACCAACCCCAGGAUUAUAAAAUGAAUCUGUGACAAGUAUUCAAGGUUUCAGCAUAUUCUCGGUAAUGAGGAUUAAGUACAUACUAUCUGUGAAAGAAAAGUUUUAUUCACUUACUAAAGAAUAUGUGAGUAAUCAUUAAGUGAGGUCAGAUUAACUGAGGUACUUUUUUAAAAAGGGCAUCCAGUACAACAUCUGCUGGAAAAUCAAUGAUAAAUAUGUCAAUUUUUUAGAAAAAGGGAAAGAUUAAGAGUAAAGCAGUGUAAUGGAAUGACUUAAUGCUCUGUUUUUAAAGAAUGGAGAGGAAUUAUAAUGACAUCAUAAACUAUCAUUAUGAAACUUUUUGACAUUUUCAUGUCAAGAAAAAGACUAUUCCCGAAGCAAGAACAAAUAGUGAUUUCUGCUGUCUAUGGGUGAUUCAGUCAAGUUCAAAUAAAUCCUGAUUCUACACUGAGAAAUCAUGAAUAAACUUUUGCACUGUGCCGGCAAACAUUGAAUUUUCUUGUAUUUAAUAUUUUUACAUAAGGACAGGAAUAGAAUACAAAAUUCUAAUUAUAGUUGAGCUGUGAAAAUGGAAAUGUUUUUAAUUUGAAUGUAUGCCACUAACUUCUGGGGAAGCCUUUAUGGUAAAUAUUUCAUAUCACUCUGCUCUCUUUACCAUAACACAAGCAAUAUCUUAUUGUCUUUUUUUUGUUCUGUUCAAUUUCCACAAAAUAAUGUGAAAUUGAGAAGCAGCGUUAUUGUAAUUGUAGACCAACAUCAUUUCAUGAUAGAAAAAGGCAUUGUGUUCUAUCAUCAUUUGUAUUUUAAUUAUUAAUGAACACCUUUGCUUUAACUGUCAGAAUUUUUUAUUAAUGUCUUGUGAUAUUUGCAUACUCUUUGCCUGUAUUUCAGGGGAGAAUGUAGAGCAAAAUAUGUAUUUAUUUCUAGUAUAUUAAUAGGCUUUCACCUGGAAGGUUUUUCUUUUGAAGGCUUUAACAAUUGAUAUCACACUGAUCAAGAGGUGCUUUAUUUACACUGGGAUAAGGGGAUAAAAAAUAAAUGCAAUACUGCUACACUUCAUCAUUAGAAAUCCCCCUAAAUAUCCAGAUUCUGUAAAAUAAUAGAGUAACUUUAGUUGAAAAGAAAAAGAAAUUUCAGUUGCUUGUAAGAAAAUGAUGUGCUUUUUCAUAUGAACUGCUUUAUUUCUCUUGCUUUGUUUUUACUAAAACUGUGUUUCUUUUAUUUGUGAUUGUGUAUGUUUCUUCCUAUUUAUGCCGUGCAUUUUUGGCCCAGUACAGAUCACAGUUCAGUAUUUUCAUUCUGCCCUGAACAGUCAAUUCCUACAAAUUAAUCCAAUAUGUCUAAUUUUUGCAAAGUAUUACCUGGUUUGUUAAAGGAAAAUUUUCUACAAUAAGAUUGAGAAUGUUAAUAAUUCUAAUAGGAAAAACACUAUUGUGUAAUUUUGCAAUAACCAUAUUUUAAUUAAAUCAGACAUUAGUAAGUACAUUUGUAAGCUGUGACAUUUAAAUAAAAUAUGCUUAUACUAGAAAGGAAAACUAUGAAAUACUUACAUCUUCCGUCAAUGUAAAAAUAUGAGGAUGAGCAUUUUAGUUAGGAAAAUAUCUGCAUAUAUAUCUUCUGUAAUUAUUUUUAUUUUUGUUUCUCUUAGAUGCCAAAUACAGUUGAACUACUGAAUUCAAACAUCUUGCUGCUUCUCUCUUAUCAGGAGUUAUCAUAUUCCCUUUGUAUACUUCAGCAGAGCCUUUUUAAAAUUCCCCUUUUCAUUAUUUUGAGGUUCAAAUUGCUGGCUAUAAUUUACAAAAAGGAGGUUUCUCAGUAACUGCUUGCAUAUAGUUUACAAAUUAUUUUAAGGAGUUACAGUGCAUACUUAGAAAGAAGCAUGAAGUGCUAUAUUUAAAGGGCUUACCAGUGUUUUGCAGAAAAGAAAACAGAAGAGAUUCAUGAAAAUGCAUAAGCAUAAACAUUUGUUUCCAUUGUGCAGGCGGAAUGGAGUUUUGCAGUAAAAGUGUGGCAUCUGGUGGUCCAGAGAAGAAAUGGCAGCCCACUCUGAGAAGGCCGAACCAUCUCAUCAGCUUGUAAUAAACUAAUUAUUUCCAGUGUGCAUGUAUGGGAAGAUUCUGGCUUCUGGAUAACCCUGCAGUAUUAAUUGCUGCAUCUUGUUUUGUGUCAUUCCAGCAGAAGGCCUGUAUUUCUUCCCAAAGAGAGAAAUAUUUUCAUUUAUUCAGAACUGUAAUGAGUUUUCAACUUCAGAUGAUGACUCUUGUAACCACCAACAGCAGAUGGGGAAUACCAUUCCCAAAAAGCAGUGCUGGGACAUCUGAAAAUGAAUUAGGAGAAUUUUAGGAUAGCAAAACUCAAGUAUAGUGUGCUAAGAAAGGGGAAUUUCUUCUGUCCUGUGGUGAACCACAUGAAUAUGUCUCCUCACAACUAAAUUCAUGAGAAACCAUUCCUUCUCAACUUGCUUGAAGAGCUGUGAGUUGUCAGAGGUCAUGAAACUCCAUGUGGAGAAGGAGCACAGAAGAAGGGACCUUCAGAAAUCCCAAAGGGUGUCUGAUGCUGAAUUGUGCAUGUAGAGAGCAGAAUGAAUUCUCAAGGUCUGAUUUGUGGAUUCUGAAUUGCAAAGUUCAGCGAUCCUUGCACUUGGCAAGCACCUGGAAUUGAAGCAUGUGCAACCAAGCUCUGUAUGUAAUUCUGUAAAAUGAGAGCUGUUUAUCUCAGCGGCUGAAAUAUUCAUUAUUGAAAAUAAGCAUUUCAGUGUUCAGAGGCGGAAUCGUGGGCUGAGAAUAAAAACGACCUGGGAAAUAGUAAAAAACUCCAUGUCUCUAAACGGCGUAGGGUAUGACCCUGCAGAAGGGCGAUGGGAGAACUCCUUCCGCCUUGGAGCUGCCUUCUGACUCUGUCCCAUCGUUUCAGCUUGGCUGCUAUUGGUGGUGGCAGAAAAAUACCGGAAGAAAUUUACAACAGUUUUGGCUGAAAGAGAGGAGGAUGAUUGAGAAAAGGGAUGAAAUUGGAAAACACCAACCUUUGCAUCUUUUCCAGAAUGUUCUAGUAACUGGCAGGCAAUAUGGGCUUUGUGUUAAAAAAGGAGCCUAUUACCACCUCUACUGAGAAAGCACCUGCCAUUUGGCCACGUUUUAUGCCUGAGAAAUCACCCCACUUCAGUGUAGCAGCGAAAUGCUCUCAGAUUCUUUCCUUGCUUUGCUUUCUUUUUGCACUCAGACUUUGCAGGCUGCAGACAGUAUUCUCAAAGGGCAGUGGAACUGGCUCCCUCAAGCCCAGGCCCCAGUAAAUGAAUUUGGGGUCACUUGGGAACUUGCUUGUCCUGUAUUUCAGUGGCUGUUUCCUGGCACUGAUUCAGCAGGUUAAGAGCCAGUUUGAAAUGCUGAAGGAACAAAAAGCAGAAAAUGGAUAUGGGGGGGAAAUUUAGAUGGGGACAAGCAUAUAGUGGAAGUUUUCCACUUUAGAUUAGAUUAUUAUGAUUAUGAUCAUUAUUAUUAUUAUUAUUAUUUAAGGAUAGAAGGCAAAGUAAAGGCAACAGGAACAAACCAUGAAGGAAAAGCAGAUAUUCAGAGGAAAGGCUGGGGCAAAGGAUAGCGUGUGAGCUGCCUGCCCCUGGCAGUGGUGCUGGGAUUGUUUGAGCUGGUGUGGUAAAAGGAGUCUGUUCUCUUUAAAAUGCUAGCCUCAGAAGCAAAGCCAAACAGCUAUUGUGCCAUCCUCUGCAGUAACAUUUUGAUGUGCAAUCUCCACAUUGAUAUGAUUAGUUGUUAAGUCAAAUAAGAGACAGCGUGACAGAAAUGUUAUUUAACUGAUUUGCCAAACUGAAUAAAGUAUAGUCUGGUCUUGUUUACAGUCAAAAUGGGAAAGUGUUUACCAGGAUAUCCAGGGGUCUCCAACAAGAGAAAAAAACAGAUCCAAAGUAAACACUUUCCAAUGCUGCCUUAGAGAAUGGUUCCCAUCUCUGGUUCUGCUACAACAUUUCUGCUACUGCUGAACAAAGUCCUUAAAUCCGGCUUCUUCCCUAUGGUUGCUUGCUGGGAACAGAACAACCAAUCGAUCAUAGCCACUGCCAAAAUCAGCAGGGAUGUGCUUCAGAGCUACGAUGCAUUACUUAGUACUGCAUACACAAAACGAAUCAGGGCCUUAGUAUCUAAAUUAAAUCCCUCUGUGCCUUAUUUCCCCUUCCACUAAAUGAGGAUAUAACAACCUCACUACACCAUGAACAUGUGAAGAUAAACUAAUCCAGGUUUGUAAAGUCAAAUUUAAGUUGUGUGUACUCACAGCAAGGGGCCAUACUCUGAAAACUGAGGAUAAAAGGAAUGUUAAGCAGAUGCUUUUUAAAUGAGUAUUGUGCAGCCUGUGCAGUCAGAGAAACAGAUGUCUUGUAGAAAUACGGCUCAUAAUCAUGUAACUUCAGUUGUUACUGAGUGUGGGUGGGAGAAGGGAACUACCUUACCCAAGCUCUGAACACUGGAACGUACAUCCCUACAGACAUUACUUUUUAGGCAUGUUUGGGAUAUUGUCUGAGCAUCCUGAAGAUGAGCAGAAAAUAAAUUUUGAUAAAGAACUUACACCUCCUUUCAAAAACUAAUAGCAACACUAUAAAAAUUGCAAACUUUGGCCUCAACACUGACCUUGUAUUCCUGUCUUGUCAGGUCCAG